ACUGCAUGUGUGUGUGCACGAAAGGAAAGAAAGAAAGAAAGAAAGCAAGAACGGAAAGAU
rnacentral:ribozyme from 11 species